CGCUGGUCUUUUGAAAAAACGUGCCUUUAAUGUAUCGUUUCAGGGACCGUAUCCGUAUGUCUGAGGAAGGGGAUACGGUCCCCAAAACGUUACAUUAAAGGCACGUUUUUUUAAAAGUCCAGCAAGUGCAAAUCCAUGGUUCAUUGUUUUAUAUAUAUAUAUAUAUAUAUAUAUAUAUAUAUAUAUAUAUAUACAUACAUACAGUAUCC